rnacentral:misc_RNA from 1 species
GUGAAUCAUCAAAUUUUUGAACGCAAAUUGCACUCCCUGGUAUUCCGGGGAGUAUGCCUGUUUGAGGGUCGUAGAACAAAAAUCGGAGCGGCGCUCUUUUUUUUAAAGGGGAUCGCGUCGGGAUUGAGCCGUCUUUCAAAUGUUAAUUCAUGUCAAAGUGGCUUAAAAUUCAUCCAUCCGGUACGGUUAAAGGGGAUUUAAAGUCAACUUUGAUUAAGAACGCGCGAUU